rnacentral:misc_RNA from 1 species
CGCAGCCGCGGUAAUUCCAGCUCCAAUAGCGUAUAUUAAAGUUGUUGCAGUUAAAAAGCUCGUAGUUGAAUUUCGGGAUCAAUAUGUUGGUCGUGCCUCGGUACGUACUAGCAUAUUGGUUUCUCCUUUCUGAAGAACCAUGAUGUCAUUUAUUUGGUGUCGUGGGGAAUCAGGACUGUUACUUUGAAAAAAUUAGAGUGUUUAAAGCAGGCUAACGCUUGAAUACAUUAGCAUGGAAUAAUGAAAUAGGACGUUCGAUCCUAUUUUGUUGGUUUCUAGGAUUGACGUAAUGAUUAAUAGGGAUAGUUGGGGGCAUUAGUAUUCAAUUGUCAGAGGUGAAAUUCUUGGAUUAUUGGAAGACUAACUACUGCGAAAGCAUUUGCCAAGGAUGUUUUCAUUAAUCAAGAACGAAAGUUAGGGGAUCGAAGACGAUCAGAUACCGUCGUAGUCUUAACCAUAAACUAUGCCGACUAGGGAUCGGAUGAUGUUAAUUUUUUAAUGACUCAUUCGGCGCCUUACG